AGUAACACGUGGGUAACCUGCCUUAUAGUGGGGGAUAGCCUUUCGAAAGGAAGAUUAAUACCGCAUAAGAUUGUAGUAUCGCAUGAUAUAGCAAUUAAAGGAGCAAUCCGCUAUAAGAUGGACCCGCGUCGCAUUAGCUAGUUGGUGAGGUAAUGGCUCACCAAGGCGACGAUGCGUAGCCGACCUGAGAGGGUGAUCGGCCACAUUGGGACUGGGACACGGCCCAGACUCCUACGGGAGGCAGCAUG
rnacentral:rRNA from 1 species